rnacentral:sRNA from 1 species
GAACGCAAAUUGCACUUUCUGGUAUUCCGGAAAGUAUGCCUGUUUGAGGGUCAGUUAAAUAAAAAUCGGUGUUGUUGCUGCUUUUCGUGGUGACGCAUCGGAAUUGGGUCGUCUUACCUUCGGUUAAGUGACUUAAAAUUUUGUAUGAUUUUCGAACGUAUUUAAAUUGCUUUACUUACGUUUGAUAUCGAAUAUUUUUAUUAGGUCUGAUCAUCCUCAUGAUUCGCGCCUAUAAUUUUCAUUAAAUGACCUCAAAUCAGGUAAGAAUACCCGCUGAACUUAAGCAUAUCAAUAAGCGGAGGAAAAGAAAAUAACAAUGAUUCCCCUAGUAACGGCGAGUGAAGAGGGAAAAGCUCAAAUUUUAAAUCUGCUAGGUUUUACUUAUCAGAAUUGUAAUUUGAAGAAGCGUUUUCCGCGUCUCGGUUGGCCCAAAUCCUUUGGGAUAAGGUAUCAUGGAGGGUGAGAAUCCCGUUCGGUUGACCUUAUGGCGCUCUACGAUACGCUCUCUAAGAGUCGAGUUGUUUGGGAUUGCAGCUCAAAAUGGGAGGUAAAUUUCUCCUAAGGCUAAAUAUCGGCGAGAGACCGAUAGCGAACAAGUACCGUGAGGGAAAGAUGAAAAGAACUUUGAAAAGAGAGUAAAAUAGUACGUGAAAUUGUUGAAAGGGAAACGAUUGAAGUCAGUCGUACCGACGAGAAAUCAGCUUAUCGCGUGUGAACUUGUGGGCGUGCGUGAGUUUCGGCCUCGCUGUUUGCAUGUUUGUGCGUUUUGGGUGUACUUUUUCGUAUGGUUGGCCAACGUCAGUUUCGAUUACUAUAAAAUGACCGGCGGAAUGUAGCUUCGAUUUCGGUUGAGGUGUUAUAGCCUCUGGUAGAUGUGGUGAUUGGGACUGAGGAUUGCAACGAAUAUCCUUUGGGCUAUCCGUCUGAUCUCUGAAAGUUGCUCAGGUGCCGAAAGCUUGCUUACGGUCAUCUAAGUUGACGGUCAAUAGGUUAGAACGCGAUUACAUUCGUUAAGGACGUUGGCGUAAUGGCUUUAAACGACCCGUCUUGAAACACGGACCAAGGAGUCUAACAUAUGUGCGAGUGUU